GAACUCUUAGCGUCAUUAUCAUCUCCAUUUUAUAGGUAGGGAAACUGUGAUCUCAAAACCAAGGUUUCUACCGCCAAGAACAGUGAUUAUUUCACGAUCCAGCCCUUAACUGUGACCUGCUUUAGCGUUGAGUGCCCGACCUAUUUAUUCUGGUAUAGUGUUAAGAAUAGACACUCUGGAGCAAAAACGCUUGGGUUUAACCCUCGCUAUUUCUCUUACUAGCUGCCUUGCCGUUACCUUGAACAGGUUACUUAACCUCCUUAGGUUUCGGUUCCUCCUCUGUAAAAUCAAUUUUAUAAGAAUAGAGGAACUAAUAAACCUGAAGCACUUAGAACAUGUCUGGAAUCUUAGAAAGCAUUACACAAUAUACAUGUUAGUAUUUCUGAAGCCUCUAUGUCAAUUUUGGGGAAAAUGGGUCAAAUAUCUGAAUUGUUCAUACUGGAACACUCCCGAUAACUGAAGUCAAACAAAAGUACGUCCUUAAUUAUAUUUUCCGAUUAAUUCACAUCUCCUACUCCUUCAUGUGAGGUUGGGCGCGCGCGCUUAUGUGCAACACUGCUCUUGACUCAAUGGACCGGUUUCACCUUCCUGCUUAUUGCAACCAGUAGGGUUUUCACAGGAUGAGUGCAAUGAGCCUAUUACAUUACUUGUCUUUCCUUCCAUUUCUCCCUAAUCCGUGCUAUUACCUCUCCCUUGAACUGAAGCAGUAGCCUUCCAACUGGUCUGAGCUUUACCUCUGUUCUGUCUCCCCACUGUACUUGACUUCUAAAUCCAUGGUAACAUUUAUCAUACUUGUUUAUGGAUCUGUUUGCCUUUAAAAAUGUUGUGUUCCCAGAAGGCAGGAAUUAUAUUUUAGACAACCUUGCUAUAACUAUUUCCCAAGCUCCGAAAGUCUGCAUACUACCUACACAAUCUCUGCCAAUCUGCACCCAGGAAUUAUCAAUUAUUCCAUAUUUUUCUUUAAAGCCAAUUUUAACACAUUUAAAAAUUUUAGCCUCAUCCCAAACCAUAAAAAUCAAAUUUAUAAAGCACUCUAUUUUUAUUCUGGUGCAUUAACAUCCAUAACUAUUUUAAAAAAAAGUUUAAAUGCCCAUCCUAUAACAUUUAAAAUCAUGUCACACAAAAUCAUGGAAUAUGCAGGGGAAUGGAUGGCAUUAGAGCAGAUUAUGCUAAGUGAAGCUAGCCAAUCCUUAAAAAACAAAUGCCAAAUGUCUUCUUUGAUAUAAGGAGAGCAACUAAGAACAGAGCAGGGAGGAAGAGUAUGAGGAAAAGAUUAACAUUAAACAGAGACGAG
rnacentral:lncRNA from 1 species